rnacentral:rRNA from 1 species
UACAGAGGUCUCGAGCGUUGUUCGGAUUCAUUGGGCGUAAAGGGCGCGUAGGCGGCGGGGUAAGUCUGGUGUGAAAUCUCGGAGCUCAACUCCGAAAUUGCACUGGAUACUGCUCUGCUAGAGGGCUGGAGAGGAGAUCGGAAUUCACGGUGUAGCAGUGAAAUGCGUAGAUAUCGUGAGGAAGACAGUGGCGAAGGCGGAUCUCGGACGCUCCUGACGCUGAGGCGCAAAGGCUAGGGGAGCAAACGGG